CUAAGCGGACUGAUGGUCGCGAUGUCCGCGGAUUUAAUAAACAAGUUUCCAUAGAAAACACAGCCGUGAAUCGCUCCAAGAGGAUCCAAAGGUGCCAGACUGUGCCAUUUAAGUGAGCAACAGUUAGUCAGGCUUUGUGAAGGUCAUUCACAGUGCUGAAGUCAAAGGCGAGUAAAGCAUUUAUUCUUGAAGCAGGAAAAAAUAAAACACCUUUUCAAGACAAAUGAAUGAAUCCGAGUGAGAACGACGAUCGUUUAGCAGAAAGUGCUUUUCUAACAGUCAAGCUCUACUAAGGUUAGAUGUUAGUCUUCAACUAGCUUCAACAUCCUCGUAUAAACUGCAAAGCUGUUUGUCUACAGUGUUUCUUCUGUGGUUCAUGUACAGAAACCUGUAAACAGACAGGCACUUUUAGCACUAGCUGAGCACUUAACGUGGAGCCGUUGUGUCUUACUCACAGGGUCCAGUUUCCUGCACAGAACAGACAUUACUGCCACUGUGCAUGUGCUGAACACCCAAUGAGGUAUUUAUUAGGUGCCGUCCUCCAGCUUAAGUAGGAAGCUGCUGAUCACACAGGUAUUCACAGGUGAGGUAAUCAUCUGCAAGAGCUGGGAGCAGGAGACGGAUCACCUCUAAAAUACAAGGUGUGUUUAAUCCAUAAUCACACACAGAGACAUAAAGACCAUCGUGGCAAAACAAAGAGUGAGUGUGUUACAACUGUAAUGCAUUUCAACGUCUGUAUAAGGGUCACCAUAACAACGGUCUACACUCAUGUACAAACGAGAGGUGCAUCUUCUCGAGUUCACUGAACUCGAGAGCUGGAUUCUUUUGGUAAACUGGAGAAAUGACAGAUAUCCAUGUACCGACUUUGGAAACAGCAAGGAAACAACAUUUUGGAUGUUUCACCACUGUUUGUAGCCUCUAACAGUGGAGACUGGUGGGGGCACAGAGACAACUUACAGGUGUUAAAGGAGAAGUGGAGGGGAGGGACGCUCCCAUGUUUUACUCCCCUGCAGGCAGAUUUCCCCACACUGCAGUAAAAGCUGUGCUGCACAGGGGAAAGUGUGGGACAGAUGGAGAGGUAAUCAGGAGCAUCCAUCCUCUCUUCUCUACAUAUUCCUCUUCCUACUUCCUCCCUGCUUUCUUUCUCCUGUGUAGUUAAAGGGAGGCUUUCAUGUUUUGUUUCUGGGAGAACAGGAAGAAGAAAAAUACAGAGCUCUGUAUCAGGGAGGUAUAGAGCUGGAGUCAGAACUUAGUCUCCAAGCACAGUGACUGGUGGUGGAAACAGAAGCUUGCACAUGUAUUCAAAUCUUUCAUAUCUGAGUUUAGUUUAACUGUAGAAAACCAGGAUACAUUUCUGACGGGUUAUACAUUAGUUUUACUCAUUUACAUUAUUAUAAUAAUACUUUGAUUUAAAGGUAAAGCAGUUUCUCAUGUGUGGAGCCUGUCUCAGUGAGCAGGCUGGUGACGUCAGGACUAAUCGGGGAAGAUUAGUGUUUUAUUUGUCAUUUGUAACUGACAUUUCAGAGCUGAAAGAAAGACUGACUGAGAGUGCUUCCUGGGUUAAAAUGCCCAUAGAAGUGAUCAUCUAUAUAAAACUAAAAGCUACGAUGGCCAAGCUGACUUUAGAUUGGCUUCCCCUACAGAAGAAUAAUUUUGAAGUGGUUUCUGGCUGUGGUUGUUUCUAGUUUCUACUGGGACCAAUCCGAACUUUCUGUUCGCUAAGCUUAACUUAGUGGCUUAGUGAACUAAUAUGUCUGUGAAGGUUCUCAGUCAUCCAGGUCAUCGUAGUCUAAGGAGCUUGGAAAGAAAUGCGUCUGGACUUCUUUAAGUUGCUUGAAGACGUUUCACCUCUCAUCCGAGAAGCCUCAAGACAUGCUUCCCCCACACUGGAUCCUCACCAAUGCUGUACCCACAGGAUGCUGUACCCACAGGAUGCUGUACCCACAGGAUGCUGUACCCACAGCGCUUCACUGUGUACUCUCACACCUGGACAACAAGAAUACAUAAGCAAGAAUGCUGUUGGCUUCAUGUGGAAACAGAAAAUGGGCACAAGAACAGUUUAAGGGAGGAAAGAGUUUGAUAUAGUUCGGGUCACUCCCUUGGUGAGGAAUGUCAAAUGGAUGAGAGUGACAGCGAGUAAGAGAAGAUCCCAGAAUGAUGUCUAAAGAACAGUUAGGAGAUCGUGUGUGUCUGUGUGUGUCUUUAGAGGACACUGUGAUGUAAGGAGCCAGGAUGUCGUUCCACGCAGAGCCGUCAGACACAGACACACAGAAACUUGUACAACUGCAGAUACAGAUGUAUGCGUCAUGCGUGGUGUCACACAGGUGUAUUAGCCCAGGCACAGACCUGAGCCACAGCCAAGUCAUUCAUAAACAAAUCAUCUGCUGAGUUAGUGUUUGGUGGUCUGUGUGCCAAAGUAUUCCUGAACCCAGUUUGCUUCACUGGAGUGUGAAUGUAGGAAGUGCUAUAAAAAGCAGUCUAUUAUUUCAUUGUUACUAAACAAUUAUAUGAAAACCAGCUUGUUUGUUAAAAUAAAAAUUUUGAACCAA